UUAAUUGAAGAGUUUGAUCAUGGCUCAGAUUGAACGCUGGCGGCAGGCCUAACACAUGCAAGUCGAGCGGCAGCACAGAGGAACUUGUUCCUUGGGUGGCGAGCGGCGGACGGGUGAGUAAUGCCUGGGAAAUUGCCCGGUAGAGGGGGAUAACCAUUGGAAACGAUGGCUAAUACCGCAUAACCUCGUAAGAGCAAAGCAGGGGACCUUCGGGCCUUGCGCUACCGGAUAUGCCCAGGUGGGAUUAGCUAGUUGGUGAGGUAA
rnacentral:rRNA from 1 species